ensembl:lincRNA Gm11342 predicted gene 11342
AGGACUGCAGGUGUGUGCCACGACAGCUUCUCCCAACUGCUAGGACCACAGGUGUGUGCCACGACAGCUUCUCCCAACUACUAGGACUACAGGUGUGUGCCAAGACAGCUUCUCCCAACUGCUAGGACCACAGUUGCAGGAUUCUUCAUCUCCUUCCAUGAUGCUGAGUUCUGCUGGUUGGAGGCCAGGAGUGCCAACAACAACUAUUGGGUUUCCUCCUACUACUGAAGUGAAGGGCACAGAAAGACAAUGACAAGUCGCCGGGAUGACAGAUUCAGAUUACUAAAGGGAAAUCAGGUUGCUAGUACAUAGUAGUGCUUAGAAAGUCUAUGCUGAAACUCAAAGACAACUUGUGCUAUUAAAGAAUUCAUGUGUUCACCUAUAAAGAAGUCCAGAAAUACACAAUGGAGACAAAAUAAACAGCAUCUUCAACAAAUGGUGCUAGUUAACCUGGGCAGCCGCAUCUAGAAGAUCCAAAUAGAUCCAUACCUGUCACCUCACACAAAACUCAACUCCAAAUGGAUCAAAGGCUUCAACAUAAAAUCAAAUACACUGAACCUGAUAGAAGAGAAAGUGGGAAAUAGCCCUGAACUCUUUGGCACAGAAAAAGACUUUCUGAACAGAACACUAUUAACAUGGUCACUAAGAUCCACAAUUAAUUAAUUGGACCUUGUGAAACUGAAAAGAUUCUGCAUGUCAAAGGACAGCAUUAUUCAGACAAAGUGGCAGCCUACAAAAUGGAAAAUGUUUUACCAACUACACAUUUAAUAGAGGGCUACUAUUCAAAAUAUAGGGAAAAAAAUCUAAAAAAAAAA